rnacentral:rRNA from 1 species
GACGAACGCUGGCGGCGUGCUUAACACAUGCAAGUCGAACGGAAAGGCCCUGCUUUUGUGGGGUGCUCGAGUGGCGAACGGGUGAGUAACACGUGAGUAACCUGCCCUUGACUUUGGGAUAACUUCAGGAAACUGGGGCUAAUACCGGAUAGGAGCUCCUGCUGCAUGGUGGGGGUUGGAAAGUUUCGGCGGUUGGGGAUGGACUCGCGGCUUAUCAGCUUGUUGGUGGGGUAGUGGCUUACCAAGGCUUUGACGGGUAGCCGGCCUGAGAGGGUGACCGGCCACAUUGGGACUGAGAUACGGCCCAGACUCCUACGGGAGGCAGCAGUGGGGAAUAUUGCACAAUGGGCGGAAGCCUGAUGCAGCAACGCCGCGUGCGGGAUGACGGCCUUCGGGUUGUAAACCGCUUUCGCCUGUGACGAAGCGUGAGUGACGGUAAUGGGUAAAGAAGCACCGGCUAACUACGUGCCAGCAGCCGCGGUGAUACGUAGGGUGCGAGCGUUGUCCGGAUUUAUUGGGCGUAAAGGGCUCGUAGGUGGUUGAUCGCGUCGGAAGUGUAAUCUUGGGGCUUAACCCUGAGCGUGCUUUCGAUACGGGUUGACUUGAGGAAGGUAGGGGAGAAUGGAAUUCCUGGUGGAGCGGUGGAAUGCGCAGAUAUCAGGAGGAACACCAGUGGCGAAGGCGGUUCUCUGGGCCUUUCCUGACGCUGAGGAGCGAAAGCGUGGGGAGCGAACAGGCUUAGAUACCCUGGUAGUCCACGCUGUAAACGGUGGGUACUAGGUGUGGGGUCCAUUCCACGGGUUCCGUGCCGUAGCUAACGCUUUAAGUACCCCGCCUGGGGAGUACGGCCGCAAGGCUAAAACUCAAAGGAAUUGACGGGGCCCCGCACAAGCGGCGGAGCAUGCGGAUUAAUUCGAUGCAACGCGUAGAACCUUACCUGGGUUUGACAUGGAUCGGGAGCGCUCAGAGAUGGGUGUGCCUCUUUUGGGGUCGGUUCACAGGUGGUGCAUGGCUGUCGUCAGCUCGUGUCGUGAGAUGUUGGGUUAAGUCCCGCAACGAACGCAACCCUUGUUCACUGUUGCCAGCACGUUAUGGUGGGGACUCAGUGGAGACCGCCGGGGUCAACUCGGAGGAAGGUGGGGAUGACGUCAAGUCAUCAUGCCCCUUAUGUCCAGGGCUUCACGCAUGCUACAAUGGCUGGUACAGAGAGUGGCGAGCCUGUGAGGGUGAGCGAAUCUCGGAAAGCCGGUCUCAGUUCGGAUUGGGAUCUGCAACUCGACCUCAUGAAGUCGGAGUCGCUAGUAAUCGCAGAUCAGCAACGCUGCGGUGAAUACGUUCCCGGG